UACAGAGACGUUGGGUUUUGUGAUGAAUUCCUCAAGCUGCCUCUUAGUUUUAAUAAUUCCUGUAUUUAAUAUUUUCCUUGCUGCUGCUGGUGGUACUGGAGACCUGCACUUCGGUGGACGUUUUGUGAGAGAGGAGAAGCAAUUCCCACCUUACCUGUGCUUGUGUUCCAACCAGCAGCAGGUGCUUUAGACUUCUGGAUGAGUUCCAGCCUCCCUGCUGGACCUGUAGAUGGUCUCCCUGCCAGGAUCCGGCAGGAUCUCUGAGUCCUCCCCUGCCACAAGCCCUUGGUGGCCACGGAUGGGCCACACAGCUCCAGGCUGGCUCACCUCUCCCUGCCCUUGUAAACAGCAGGAGCAGCAGCGCUUUAACAAUCCCAGGAUUGUUUGUGGUGUGCCUCUUUCUUGGUGUAAGAACAGCCAGGCUGAUGAGUGGCCCCAGAGGACAAGAGGAUUUAAACUCUGGAUGAUGAGACGGGAGCGAAGUGGUCCGUGAAGCACCAGGGAGACGCGUUUGAACUCCGAAGACAUCGCUGUCAUCACAUGGGAAUGGGCCUGGAGAUAAAUAUUCUGUUCUCAGCUAUUUCGGUUUUACCAGCUGCACACAUCUACCCAUGACAUUCAGGGAAAUGCUUACUUUGAGUUUGAAGAUGGGAGAGUCACCAUCACCAUCCUCAGGAUCAUCAUCUUCAUCAUCAACACAUGUGGGACUGUGAACCUCCUUCAUAAGAAGCCAACUCCAACACCAGCAUCGUGGACACCCAUGGCAGCAAAAGGAGAAGCCUGUGAUUCUUCCCUCUUGAAAUGACUCCCUUUCUCCCACUGCUCUGCCAUCCCAGAUGGAGCCUGGCCCUGGAGCAACCAUCCUUCAUCCCUGCAGAACAGCCCCUGCUAAAGCCUUCGAGGUGCGAGUUCAACAGAAAAUUUAUAAAUUUAAUUCUUCUAAUAUGUCUGUAUAUUAAUUUCUGAGACAAAAAGUUCUCAAGAGCAGUUGCUGUGAGAAGCUAGAAAGCUCAGUGUGGGAACAGAGCAUAUUCCUGGGGUUUUGGCAUUCUGCUUUUGUGUCUAUUAAUAAUCCCCCGGAGUGAGUCAUAUGGAGCUGCAUUUAUUCACUGACUCGGAGAGAGCUGCUACCCAAAAUAGCAGCUCUGUAAUUUUUUAUGAUGCUGUAAUGCUAGUGCAGUGAAGAUUGACAUCAUUUGAGGGAGAUGCUCCAGCCUGGCAGUCAGAGAACCCGUGUCCAGCCCCACAAGGAACGUGGAGAGCCACGUGCUCCGUUACAUAAAAGCGCCGGAGAGCCAGCACGGGGUGGAGAUGCCUUUUCUGUCCUCACCUGAGCAUCUUUUCCCCAGAUUUUCUCCCAUUUUUAGGUCUCUCUAAGCAUUCUUGGCUUAUUUUCUUCAAUCAUGAAGAGCACUGGGCCCAGAGGAUGAUGAGGAAAUGGCUUUAGCUGCGGGGAGGAGCCUCAAGCACAUCUCAAACCAUCAACCUGCCUGCCAGGAGGUCCAUAGGGUAAUCUUGAAAUGCAUCAAAUUCAGCAUCACCAGCUCAUCCUUUUUCUCACCCACAUUGCUGCUCCGUGUCCCUUCCUGAACCCCUGAGCGUCCCCUGGGCCAAGGCCUGUGCCCAAAACUCACCAGCUCCUUCCCAGCCCCGUGUUCCCGAUGCUGGCAGCCCCAGGCAAAGGGCAGAGAAACGCUGGGGCAGGGUUUGGGCUGGGUUUUUUAAGGAUGGAUCUGAUUUUCUGGAUUGCUUCUCAUUCUCUGCCCUGCACUGCUGCCAUCAGGUCUGUCCUGGAGUGGCAGCCAGUGGGGCAUCCGAGAUAUCCCAGGGUGGCCCCACUGCUUCCCAAAAACACCUGUGGGUACCACACAGGCUUUUUGGCACAAUUCUGGCUAAAAUUCCUCUGCAGGGGCCCAUUGCUCUGCGCUUUCCACCCAAAACAUUAGGGAAGAUGAAUUUGCCUGUGCUGGGCAUUAAUAGCAUUAAUGGGCAUUAAGGGUGAACUUUUGCAGGUCAACAGUGUUUUAUAGGUUCCGUUUCAGCUAGAAAUGCUUGUUAACAUUACCUUUUCAUGGAGCACUUGGGGAGAAAAUGGAACUCCUGCCACAGCAGCCUUGAGCCAGUGUGGCUGAUGGGAUGAGCAGCAGCUGCGGCUGAAUUUCAGUCAGAGCAGCUCAAGUCCUUUGGGUGAAGGGUGUCACAUCUUUGGGUGACCUGCAUGAAAAAUGGAAAUGUGACAGUUGAGCUACAAGGCCCUCAAUACAACCACUGGCAUAAAUUAAUAAAUAC
rnacentral:lncRNA from 1 species